CUCGGUCCUACUCUUCAGUCUCAUCUCGCUGGAAUAGUGUUGUCAUGUGUGAAGAUCUACACAAAAUUGAGACUUCUGGCACAGUGGCCUGCACUGUUCGAAGUCUGUAAGAUCAGUGCUGAAUUCAAAAUAAUCACCACAGUUCCCCUGCAAUCCAAGCAACUGUUGCUGAAUUGGCUGAU